rnacentral:rRNA from 1 species
GAUGAACGCUGGCGGCGUGCCUAAUACAUGCAAGUCGAGCGAACAGACGAGGAGCUUGCUCCUCUGACGUUAGCGGCGGACGGGUGAGUAACACGUGGAUAACCUACCUAUAAGACUGGGAUAACUUUGGGAAACCGGAGCUAAUACCGGAUAAUAUAUAGAACCGCAUGGUUCAAUAGUGAAAGGCGGUUUUGCUGUCACUUAUAGAUGGAUCCGCGCCGCAUUAGCUAGUUGGUAAGGUAACGGCUUACCAAGGCGACGAUGCGUAGCCGACCUGAGAGGGUGAUCGGCCACACUGGAACUGAGACACGGUCCAGACUCCUACGGGAGGCAGCAGUAGGGAAUCUUCCGCAAUGGGCGAAAGCCUGACGGAGCAACGCCGCGUGAGUGAUGAAGGUCUUCGGAUCGUAAAACUCUGUUAUUAGGGAAGAACAAAUGUGUAAGUAACUAUGCACGUCUUGACGGUACCUAAUCAGAAAGCCACGGCUAACUACGUG